ACGCCAAUGUGGUAGUGGCUAUCCUCUGAGUUUCCCAUACUUAGGACGGGGGUUCGAUUCCCCCUUGGCGUA